AUAGCAUAUCAAUAAGCGGAGGAAAAGAAACCAACCGGGAUUGCCUCAGUAACGGCGAGUGAAGCGGCAAGAGCUCAAAUUUGAAAGCUGGCCCCUUCGGGGUCCGCGUUGUAAUUUGCAGAGGAUGCUUCGGGUGCGGCCCCUGUCUAAGUGCCCUGGAACGGGCCGUCAGAGAGGGUGAGAAUCCCGUCUUGGGCAGGGUGCCCGUGCCCGUGUGAAGCUCCUUCGACGAGUCGAGUUGUUUGGGAAUGCAGCUCUAAAUGGGUGGUAAAUUUCAUCUAAAGCUAAAUACCGGCCGGAGACCGAUAGCGCACAAGUAGAGUGAUCGAAAGAUGAAAAGCACUUUGAAAAGAGAGUUAAACAGCACGUGAAAUUGUUGAAAGGGAAGCGCUUGCGACCAGACUCGGCCCCGGGGUUCAGCCAGCACUCGUGCUGGUGUACUUCCCCGGGGGCGGGCCAGCGUCGGUUUGGGCGGCCGGUCAAAGGCCCCAGGAAUGUAUCGCCCUCCGGGGUUGUCUUAUAGCCUGGGGUGCAAUGCGGCCAGCCCGGACCGAGGAACGCGCUUCGGCACGGACGCUGGCGUAAUGGUCGCAAACGACCCGUCUUGAAACACGGACCAAGGAGUCUAACAUCUACGCGAGUGUUCGGGUGUCAAACCCGUACGCGCAGUGAAAGCGAACGGAGGUGGGAGCCCCCCCGGGGCGCACCAUCGACCGAUCCUGAUGUCUUCGGAUGGAUUUGAGUAAGAGCGUAGCUGUGGGGACCCGAAAGAUGGUGAACUAUGCCUGAAUAGGGCGAAGCCAGAGGAAACUCUGGUGGAGGCUCGCAGCGGUUCUGACGUGCAAAUCGAUCGUCAAAUUUGGGUAUAGGGGCGAAAGACUAAUCGAACCAUCUGGUAGCUGGUUCCUGCCGAG
rnacentral:rRNA from 1 species